AUAUUAGAAAGAAUACCAAUUGCGAAGGCAGCUUUCUGGAUCAUUACUGACACUGAGGAACGAAAGCAUGGGUAGCGAAGAGGAUUAGAUACCCUCGUAGUCCAUGCCGUAAACGAUGUGUGUUAGACGUUGGAAAUUUAUUUUCAGUGUCGCAGCGAAAGCGAUAAACACACCGCCUGGGGAGUACGACCGCAAGGUUAAAACUCAAAUGAAUUGACGGGGACCCGCACAAGUAGUGGAGCAUGUGGUUUAAUUCGAAGAUACGCGCAGAACCUUACCAACACUUGACAUGUUCGUCGCGACUUUAAGAGAUUAAAGUUUUCGGUUCGGCCGGACGAAACACAGGUGCUGCAUGGCUGUCGUCAGCUCGUGUCGUGAGAUGUUGGGUUAAGUCCCGCAACGAGCGCAACCCUCACUUUUAGUUGCCAUCAUUUAGUUGGGCACUCUGAAAGAACUGCCAGUGAUAAGCUGGAGGAAGGUGGGGAUGACGUCAAGUCCUCAUGGCCCUUACGUGUUGGGCUACACACGUGCUACAAUGGUAUCUACAACAGGAAGCAAGACGGCGACGUUAAGCAAAUCCUUAAAAGAUACCUCAGUUCGGAUUGCACUCUGCAACUCGAGUGCAUGAAGCUGGAAUUACUAGUAAUCGUGGAUCAGCGUGCCACGGUGAAUGCGUUCCCGGGUCUUGUACACACCGCCCGUCACACCAUGGGAGUUGGUUCUACCUUAAGGCAAGGUUUUAAACCCUUGACCACGGUAUAGUCAGCGACUGGGGUGAAGUCGUAACAAGGUAGCCGUA
rnacentral:rRNA from 1 species